GAGGAAAAUGUUCUGAUCAAGUAUCAUCAUCUCACAAUAAAACUAACUAAUAAAGAAAUUUAAAGCUAGGAAAGUAACAAAGCAGAUAUGCAGAGAUCUAAAGUCUGCCAGGCUUAAUGGUAGACCUAAGGGUGCUUGACUACAAAAGACUGAGGAGAAGAGGUGGUGAUCUGGGACUUCGGGGCCCAAAGCUGGGAGAGAGUCUUAUGUAUCUCCUUGAAGUAAUUCCUGCAGACGGCUGCUUUCUGUCUAAGUGUCUUAUCUCAAUGACUGUCCUGUGGUCUAGACUCAAGCCACCAACAACUGUGUCCUGUGCCUUAGGAAGGAGCUAGAAUCUCUCCCCGGAAUGACCAUGGAAUGACAGCUCAAAACCUUUCGGAGUGCCCUAGAUCAAGAGUCACCAUCAAAAGAUCACGGUGUAAAAGAUGCGCUCUCGUCCUGCGGCUCUGAAAGGGAGACAGGAGCUGCCUGAUGGGGAAGAUCAAGCGGCCUUUGAAAACCCCUCUCGGAGUUUAUUAAACCCUGGGGCUAGGGCAGGCCAACCUGGAGGCCCAGCCAGGCCCGGCUCCACCCCCCCAUGGACUUCCCAGAGGGGACCUAGCCUGUUCUCUCCCCCUAAACUUGACAGGCCUGUGCCCGGACGGGACGUGAGGAUUGAAGUAGGAGCCUGAGCACCUAGGGUAGAGACUAUCAUCUUUUUCAAGGUGGAUGGGGCAGAGACUAGCCACUUCCCCAGAUGGCCAGGGCCUCUCUCCCUGGGCCACUCAAGAUGUCCUCAUUUCCUACAGGGACUCUCUUUAUUAGCUCUCCCAAGUGUUUGCUCAAGGCACAGAGCGGGGAGUGGAAGGGGAGCCACCAAGGGUCUCUAGGCUCGACUGCAGCUCAGUGACCAGGCAAGGGCGGGAUGAAGAUGAGCAGGGCAAGACUUAGGUUUCUACACUCUGGAAGGCCCUGGGAGAUGGAAGGCACAAGAACGCAUGCUCAGUGUUCCCUCCGAACUCUUGCCAGCGCCCGCCCACGCUGUGCUCUGAGGAUAGGUCUGGACUGACACCAUGCUCCCCGCCAACAGUGAGCUCCACACGGCCAUUCAGCCCAGGAGCAGGCCCAUAAACACGGAGGCUUGGAGUCAAGGUAGUUAUAUUCUCGAACUUCCACAAAUAUUGACCAGGGCAUUCUGUGCGCUAGGGCACCAUCCUGCACACUGGACAGGCAGUGGUCUGUCAAGCAGCGGACGCAUGUUGUUAUCGACAGGGUGUGGUGUUACUGACACUCUGGGGUCAACUCAUGGUAGCCCCACACCCCGAGAGGCCUCCUGCUUGUCAGGUGACUGGGCCCCGGGGAGAAGUGGCAGGGCCCUGGGAUAAGACUGUUCUCUGGUAUGUCAGUCAGCUGCUUCCACCUGAUGAGUGUCUCUCCCGAGACUCUGAGGACAAGUUCUUUUCAAAAGAUAAUUCAGUCUAAAACAUUAAAAGAGCCGGUAAGAUGGCUCAGUGAGUAAAGGCGCUUGCAAGUCUGACAACCUGAGUUUGAUCCCUGGACCUCAAGGAAAGGGAGAAAUAGAAACCCAGCUCCAUAAAGUUUUCCUUGGACCUCCACAUUUGUGGCAUGACAUAUCACACACACACAUACACACAUCAUACACACACACAUCAUACACACACACACACACACACACACACACACACACGCACACAGGCACGCACACAGUCGCGCACACACACAUCACACACACACACAUCACACACGCAUGCACGCACGCAUGCACGCACGCCUGGUCUUGUUUCACUGACCCUGUCACCCCCAGAACUGCUCCAAGGCCACCCAUACUCUUCAUUGAUUGACACCUCCAGGAGAGGGCGCGCUUCCUCCCUGGCCAGCUCUGGGUUUGGAAUGCAGAUCAAUCUCUGCCCCUUUUUAUGCUUCCCCUUUAAACAAGUUCAAAGUCCUUUACAGAUUCCCUGAAGAAUCUCUUUCUUCACAACUGUAGAGAAUAAACAGACGGGAACAGUCUGAAGAUAUAAAACUGGAGUUCAAAGCUGUGUGUGUCGACAGUUCCCGAACCUGGAAUAGAUUGCAA